rnacentral:tRNA from 1 species
CGGGGCGUAGCUCAGAUGGCUAGAGCGCAUGGUUUGGGACCAUGAGGUCGGCAGUUCGAGUCUGCCCGCCCCGACCA